rnacentral:lncRNA from 1 species
UCAUUCGGUUUGGACCAGAAGGAGGUUUUCCUCCUCCAUUUCCACCUUUGCCCUUUUCUGCUGGGCCCUUUUUGCCUUUUUUACAAGUUUGCCUUUGCCUUGCUUUUGGUUUUUUCCUUCGAUAUCUUCAAAAUCUGUGUCAGAAGAAAAAUGUGUUUCUGACUCUGUAGUAGAUUAAAAUCAGUUGGUAUUUCUGGAGCUGCUAUCAUUUCUUUAUCAUCUUCUGGAACACCUCAAUGUCAGAAAUAUAUUCAUAUAUUUACGUGGGUAAAAUGGUGGCUUGCCUUCUUUCUUCUAAGACAAUUUCAUUCGUUUGGCCGCGCUUCCGCCGCGGACCCGAUCGAGCCGCGGUUCUUCUGUCUUUAGUGGGGUGUCGAGGGG